GAUAAACGCUGGCGGCGUGCCUAAUACAUGCAAGUCGAGCGAACGGACGAGAAGCUUGCUUCUCUGAUGUUAGCGGCGGACGGGUGAGUAACACGUGGAUAACCUACCUAUAAGACUGGGAUAACUUCGGGAAACCGGAGCUAAUACCGGAUAAUAUUUUGAACCGCAUGGUUCAAAAGUGAAAGACGGUCUUGCUGUCACUUAUAAAUGGAUCCGCGCUGCAUUAGCUAGUUGGUAAGGUAACGGCUUACCAAGGCAACGAUGCAUAGCCGACCUGAGAGGGUGAUCGGCCACACUGGAACUGAGACACGGUCCAGACUCCUACGGGAGGCAGCAGUAGGGAAUCUUCCGCAAUGGGCGAAAGCCUGACGGAGCAACGCCGCGUGAGUGAUGAAGGUCUUCGGAUCGUAAAACUCUGUUAUUAGGGAAGAACAUAUGUGUAAGUAACUGUGCACAUCUUGACGGUACCUAAUCAGAAAGCCACGGCUAACUACGUGCCAGCAGCCGCGGUAAUACGUAGGUGGCAAGCGUUAUCCGGAAUUAUUGGGCGUAAAGCGCGCGUAGGCGGUUUUUUAAGUCUGAUGUGAAAGCCCACGGCUCAACCGUGGAGGGUCAUUGGAAACUGGGAAACUUGAGUGCAGAAGAGGAAAGUGGAAUUCCAUGUGUAGCGGUGAAAUGCGCAGAGAUAUGGAGGAACACCAGUGGCGAAGGCGACUUUCUGGUCUGUAACUGACGCUGAUGUGCGAAAGCGUGGGGAUCAGACAGGAUUAGAUACCCUGGUAGUCCACGCCGUAAACGAUGAGUGCUAAGUGUUAGGGGGUUUCCGCCCCUUAGUGCUGCAGCUAACGCAUUAAGCACUCCGCCUGGGGAGUACGACCGCAAGGUUGAAACUCAAAGGAAUUGACGGGGACCCGCACAAGCGGUGGAGCAUGUGGUUUAAUUCGAAGCAACGCGAAGAACCUUACCAAAUCUUGACAUCCUUUGACAACUCUAGAGAUAGAGCCUUCCCCUUCGGGGGACAAAGUGACAGGUGGUGCAUGGUUGUCGUCAGCUCGUGUCGUGAGAUGUUGGGUUAAGUCCCGCAACGAGCGCAACCCUUAAGCUUAGUUGCCAUCAUUAAGUUGGGCACUCUAAGUUGACUGCCGGUGACAAACCGGAGGAAGGUGGGGAUGACGUCAAAUCAUCAUGCCCCUUAUGAUUUGGGCUACACACGUGCUACAAUGGACAAUACAAAGGGCAGCGAAACCGCGAGGUCAAGCAAAUCCCAUAAAGUUGUUCUCAGUUCGGAUUGUAGUCUGCAACUCGACUACAUGAAGCUGGAAUCGCUAGUAAUCGUAGAUCAGCAUGCUACGGUGAAUACGUUCCCGGGUCU
rnacentral:rRNA from 1 species